rnacentral:rRNA from 1 species
UACGGAGGGGGCAAGCGUUGUUCGGAAUUACUGGGCGUAAAGGGCGCGCAGGCGGCUGCUCAAGUCGGGUGUGAAAGCCCCGGGCUCAACCCGGGAAGUGCACUCGAAACUGGGAGGCUAGAGUAUCGGAGAGGUUGGUGGAAUUCUCGGUGUAGAGGUGAAAUUCGUAGAUAUCGAGAGGAACACCGGUGGCGAAGGCGGCCAACUGGACGAAUACUGACGCUGAGACUCGAAAGCGUGGGGAGCAAACAGG